CGCGUCGAAACGCUGGGUCCCGUGCGACCACCAAAGUUAAGCAAUGCCGAGCCUGGUCAGUACCUAGAUGGAUGAUCAUUUGGGAUUAGUAAGUGCUGUAAG